CAGAGGUCCCGAGCGUUGUUCGGAUUCACUGGGCGUAAAGGGUGCGUAGGUGGCGGGGUAAGUUUGAUGUGAAAUCUCCGGGCUUAACCCGGAAACUGCAUUGAAUACUAUUCUGCUCGAGGUUUGGAGGGGGGACUGGAAUUCUCGGUGUAGCAGUGAAAUGCGUAGAUAUCGAGAGGAACACCAGUGGCGAAGGCGAGUCCCUGGACAACACCUGACACUGAGGCACGAAAGCUAGGGGAGCAAACAGGAUUAGAUACCCUGGUAGUCCUAGCUGUAAACGGUGCACAUUUGCUGUAAAAGGAAUCGACCCCUUUUGUGGCGAAGCUAACGCGAUAAAUGUGCCGCCUGGGAAGUACGGUCGCAAGAUUA
rnacentral:rRNA from 1 species